UUGCAGGGUAUAGACCCGAAACCCGGUGAUCUAGCCAUGGGCAGGUUGAAGGUUGGGUAACACUAACUGGAGGACCGAACCGACUAAUGUUGAAAAAUUAGCGGAUGACUUGUGGCUGGGGGUGAAAGGCCAAUCAAACCGGGAGAUAGCUGGUUCUCCCCGAAAGCUAUUUAGGUAGCGCCUCGUGAAUUCAUCUCCGGGGGUAGAGCACUGUUUCGGCAAGGGGGUCAUCCCGACUUACCAACCCGAUGCAAACUGCGAAUACCGGAGAAUGUUAUCACGGGAGACACACGGCGGGUGCUAACGUCCGUCGUGAAGAGGGAAACAACCCAGACCGCCAGCUAAGGUCCCAAAGUCAUGGUUAAGUGGGAAACGAUGUGGGAAGGCCCAGACAGCCAGGAUGUUGGCUUAGAAGCAGCCAUCAUUUAAAGAAAGCGUAAUAGCUCACUGGUCGAGUCGGCCUGCGCGGAAGAUGUAACGGGGCUAAACCAUGCACCGAAGCUGCGGCAGCGACACUGUGUGUUGUUGGGUAGGGGAGCGU
rnacentral:rRNA from 1 species